GAAAAAAACAGAUUGACUCUCAGUGACUCAUUUAGCUCCUGGAUUGGACAGAUCUCUCCCCUGCUGGCAAUUUGGCUGAGCAUCAAUGGACAGAUACCAGGAUGAAUAGCUUAAAAUAAUUAGGGGUUGGGAAUAUGCAAAACUGCUAGCCAUCCAAUUCUUUACUCUGCAAUGUGAGGCACAAAAAAGAAAUUACAUUUAGGUUAUUAAAUAUUAAGUCAGUGGAUUUGCCUCCAUUUGGUCCAGAACAGGAAACUGGAUAAAAUUCAACAUUUAUUUCAUUGUGUUGAUGGCCUGUUUAUCACUGAGCGGAAAAGAAGAGAACAGAGGAAUUUGACAAAUGAUGGCAAUUGAGACUUCAUGAUUUAAGAACAGCAUCUCAAGCAGUUGCUCUGAAGUGGUUCUCCAUGUGAAAUGAGGAUGCCGCAUGCUUAUCAGUGGUGAUACAGGUAUAUGGCUACAGAUGCCUUGCCCCUCAAAAGCUUCGUGUUUGCCAGAGUCAGGGAUGAAGAACACCAGGUAUUUCCAGGGAUACUGGAGUGGCACAUGUUCCAGAAAGUUUGAAGUAAAGUGUCUGCUUUCACUGCUCAGGUUCAAGCCCAUUAAAGGAUUUGAGGAAAUCCAUUCAGUACUUUGCACAGAGAACAAAUGUG
rnacentral:lncRNA from 1 species